GUCCGGAUGGUGUAGGGGCCUAGCAUAGAGCCCUGUCGAGGCUCUGACCCGGGUUCAAAUCCCGGUCCGGGCG
rfam:Euryarchaeota archaeon 55_53 PW_scaffold_68, whole genome shotgun sequence.